rnacentral:rRNA from 1 species
UACGUAGGGUGCAAGCGUUGUCCGGAAUUAUUGGGCGUAAAGAGCUCGUAGGCGGUCUGUCGCGUCUGCUGUGAAAACUCAGGGCUUAACCCUGAGCUUGCAGUGGGUACGGGCAGACUAGAGUGCGGUAGGGGAGACUGGAAUUCCUGGUGUAGCGGUGAAAUGCGCAGAUAUCAGGAGGAACACCGGUGGCGAAGGCGGGUCUCUGGGCCGUAACCGACGCUGAGGAGCGAAAGCAUGGGGAGCGAACAGG